AAAAUAUGUGUUCUUUUAGUAAAAUGAUUUUGAAAAUGAAAUUGAUAAUGAAAAUAUUAUAUUCGGAAACCAAGACUUUGUUGAACAAAAGCAAGGAACUGAAAAUUCAAAACCUUCGGAAAGCCAAAGACAACGUAAACCGAAACCGGAAGCAGGACGCUUGGCGUUGCCAAGAGGAGGUAGACAUGCCACUGUCUUGUUGCAAAAGGCAAGAAGAAGAACACAUGGUUAAAACUUGAAACUUUGCACACUUUUUAUUUAACAGAACAGAAAUCUGAUUAUUAAGAUAUUAUUAUUAUAAGAAAAUGUGCCAAGUGCCUGGACCCACUGUCGUUCCUAAACUAGAAUUUCAGCUACAUGGAUAUUGUCAAUGCAUUUCAUUAAAAUACGCAACAUACGGUCAAAAUCUCUACUUCGAACACAGUUUUCGCAUAGCGUACAGAUUAAUACGCUAACGUUAAGCUUUCAUAUUGAAAUAAAAAUACAAUUUUCACACACAAGAAAAGAGAAAAAUAUGAACUUUUGAACACUG
rnacentral:lncRNA from 1 species